AGAAUCAACGCUGGCGGCGUGCCUAACACAUGCAAGUCGAACGAGAAAGUGGAGCAAUCCAUGAGUACAGUGGCGUACGGGUGAGUAACACGUGACUACCUACCCUCGAGUGGGGAAUAACCUCGGGAAACCGGGGCUAAUACCGCAUAACAUCUACGGAUCAAAUGCGUAAGCAGCUUGAGGAGGGGGUCGCGGCCGAUUAGCUAGUUGGUGAGGUAAUGGCUCACCAAGGCAAUGAUCGGUAGCCGGCCUGAGAGGGCGCACGGCCACACUGGAACUGAAACACGGUCCAGACUCCUACGGGAGGCAGCAGUGGGGAAUUUUGCGCAAUGGGGGAAACCCUGACGCAGCAACGCCGCGUGGAGGAUGAAGCCCCUUGGGGUGUAAACUCCUUUCGAUCGGGACGAUUAUGACGGUACCGGAUGAAAGAAGCACCGGCUAACUCUGCGCCAGCAGCCGC
rnacentral:rRNA from 1 species